CAUAGCAGUCGAGCGGUAAGGCCCUUCGGGGUACACGAGCGGCGAACGGGUGAGUAACACGUGGGUGAUCUGCCCUGCACUUCGGGAUAAGCCUGGGAAACUGGGUCUAAUACCGGAUAUGACCAAAGGCUGCAUGGCUUUUGGUGGAAAGGUUUACUGGUGCAGGAUGGGCCCGCGGCCUAUCAGCUUGUUGGUGGAGUAAUGGCCUACCAAGGCGACGACGGGUAGCCGACCUGAGAGGGUGACCGGCCACACUGGGACUGAGACACGGCCCAGACUCCUACGGGAGGCAGCAGUGGGGAAUAUUGCACAAUGGGCGAAAGCCUGAUGCAGCGACGCCGCGUGAGGGAUGAAGGCCUUCGGGUUGUAAACCUCUUUCAGCAGGGACGAAGCGAAAGUGACGGUACCUGCAGAAGAAGCACCGGCUAACUACGUGCCACAGCCGCGGUAAUACGUAGGGUGCGAGCGUUGUCCGGAAUUACUGGGCGAAAGAGUUCGUAGGCGGUUUGUCACGUCGUCUGUGAAAACCCACCGCUCACGGUGGGCCUGCAGGCGAUACGGGCAGACUUGAGUACUGCAGGGGAGACUGGAAUUCCUGGUGUAGCGGUGAAAUGCGCAGAUAUCACGAGGAACACCGGUGGCGAAUGCGGGUCUCUGGGCAGUAACUGACGCUGACGAACGAAUGCGUGGGUAGCAUACAGGAUUAGAUACUCUGGUAGUCCACGCCGCAGACAGUGGGCGCUAGAUGUGAGUCCCUUACACGGAAUCUGUGUCGUAGCUAACGCAUUAAGCGCCCCGCCUGCGGAGUACGGCCGCCAGGCUCAAACUCAGAUUGAUUGAUCGGC
rnacentral:rRNA from 1 species